rnacentral:rRNA from 1 species
CUGAAUAACUUUGCUAAUCGCACAGUCUUUGCACUGGCGAUGUAUCUUUCAAAUGUCUGCCUUAUCAACUGUUGAUGGUAGAUUAUGCGCCUACCAUGGUUGUAACGGGUAACGGAGAAUCAGGGUUUGAUUCCGGAGAGGGAGCCUGAGAAACAGCUACCACAUCCAAGGAAGGCAGCAGGCACGCAAAUUACCCACUCCCAGUUCGGGGAGGUAGUGACGAAAAAUAACGAGACGAUGCUCUACGAGUAUCGUCAUCGGAAUGAGUACAAUCUAAAUACUUUAACGAGUAUCUAUUGGAGGGCAAGUCUGGUGCCAGCAGCCGCGGUAAUUCCAGCUCCAAUAGCGUAUAUUAAAGUUGUUGCGGUUAAAAAG